rnacentral:rRNA from 1 species
AGUGAACGCUGGCGGUAGGCCUAACACAUGCAAGUCGAACGGCAGCACAGUAAGAGCUUGCUCUUACGGGUGGCGAGUGGCGGACGGGUGCGUAAUACAUCGGAAUCUACUUUUUCGUGGGGGAUAACGUAGGGAAACUUACGCUAAUACCGCAUACGACCUACGGGUGAAAGCCGGGGAUCUUCGGACCUUGCGCGAUUGAAUGAGCCGAUGUCGGAUUAGCUAGUUGGCGGGGUAAAGGCCCACCAAGGCGACGAUCCGUAGCUGGUCUGAGAGGGUGAUCAGCCACACUGGAACUGAGACACGGUCCAGACUCCUAAGGGAGGCAGCAGUGGGGAAUAUUGGACAAUGGGCGCAAGCCUGAUCCAGCCAUACCGCGUGGGUGAAGAAGGCCUUCGGGUUGUAAAGCCCUUUUGUUGGGAAAGAAAAGCAGCAGGUUAAUACCCCGCUGUUCUGACGGUACCCAAAGAAUAAGCACCGGCUAACUUCGUG